rnacentral:tRNA from 1 species
CUGAUAGGGCUGCUAUAGCAGGUUACUGUGAUAUAGUAAAUGUAAGAGGUUUCUUCGUCGGU